GACGAACGCUGGCGGCGCGCCUAACACAUGCAAGUCGAACGGAGCUGAGAGAAGCUUGCUUUUCUUAGCUUAGUGGCGAACGGGUGAGUAACGCGUGAGUAACCUGCCCUGGAGUGGGGGACAACAGUUGGAAACGACUGCUAAUACCGCAUAAGCCCACGAUCCGGCAUCGGCUUGAGGGAAAAGGAUUUAUUCGCUUCAGGAUGGACUCGCGUCCAAUUAGCUAGUUGGUGAGGUAACGGCCCACCAAGGCGACGAUUGGUAGCCGGACUGAGAGGUUGAACGGCCACAUUGGGACGGAGACACGGCCCAGACUCCUACGGGAGGCAGCAGUGGGGGAUAUUGCACAAUGGGGGAAACCCUGAUGCAGCGACGCCGCGUGGAGGAAGAAGGUAUUCGGAUUGUAAACUCCUGUCGUUAGGGACGAUAAUGACGGUACCUAACAAGAAAGCACCGGCUAACUACGUG
rnacentral:rRNA from 1 species